GAGCGGGGGGUCGGGCUACCUGCUGACGGGGAGCUGCCCUCGCUCCUCGCCCUCCCUGCGACCCCCACGCCGACCUCCAGCCGUUCCCUUGUGGUUCUGUAACGACGGGUUUUAGGAGCGUUUGGUGCUGUGACCCUGCAGAUGCUUUUACCGUCUUCAUUUCUUGGUCAAUGGCCCAGUCUUACUAGAGUGCGCUCUGCCGGUACGCCGCUUCAAAUCCUUUCCAGAAACUGAGUCUUAUUCCCCAAUAAACCUUUUGCACUCCCAACUCUAUGUCUACAUCUGCUUCCCAAAGGACCCAACUGACACAUGCUGCCACAAGGAGGCAAACCACAAGAGAGGUUGGGAGUGGAAGAAGAGGUCCUGUUAUAGAUGACGUAUUAUCACUCUGAAGACUUGCCUAUUGGAAACAAGCUCUGGUGGUUGUAUUUUCUUUCUAUAUUACAAUCUGGUAAAGUGGUUGUUUAACAAUCUAUACCAGAUGAAUACAAUGAAACAAACAAAUUUAUUAAAAUAUACUAUAUUCAGAGAGCUAUGCUUCUUUCCAACACAUGGCCAGCCUAUGACUGAAGCUCUGGGCUCUUAAAAUCAUUAAAUUGAGUUGGGAAAAUUU
rnacentral:lncRNA from 1 species